UCUGGGCCACCAAUCUUACCCAAAGAAGGUCACAAGUCGUAAACUAAUAUUGUAAGUGGUUGUAAUGUUACUCUACAAUACAACCCUUUCAUUCCAAAUACAACAAUAACAACCAAUAGUCCUCUUAGUAGCUAUUAUGAUGUCAUAGUUUUUUAUGCAGAAGACUAAAACUCAAAACAAGAAUCAUAGAUACAUGACGACGACAUGAGCGAGGAAUUUUUUAUCAUAUUUCGUCAAGGAAAGUCUCAUUUACUUGAGAGAAUAAGAUGGAAAGGAUGGUUGUUAACCCUAUAGAACAAUACUAUCUUUCAAAUGAUAUUCAGUAUCAAGUUUUCUCUAAUUAUGCAGGACAUAUUGCUGCGCAUACAUAAGCUAAGCUACUGAAGGAUCUGUCUAGUACUUUGGUAAGAACUCAAUCAGCUUGAUGAAUCUUUAAAAAUUGGUAUGUAAGAAUAUCAAAGUAGCAAGGAUCAGUUCCAUAUUUAUACAAAAAAGAUGGCAAAUCACAAGGUUCAAGCUGAGGCAAUCCUGGUAUAACAAUUUCUUGUUCUAACAAAGUUGACAGUGCUGUCCUACGAGAUAAAUCUUUUGGAGAAACCUGACGAGCCGAUGACAUGUUGCAUCAACCAUAUAGCUACAUAUAUUCCAAGGCGAUAACUGCUACUUCAUUAACAGGUGCCAAUGCAAUGAGAGGUGGCUCCAUAAACAAGAAUCAAAACAAGAAUCAUAGAUACAUGAUAACGAAAUGAGCGAGGAAUUUUUUAUCAUAUUUCGUCAAGGAAAGUCUCAUUUACUUGAGAGAAUAAGAUGGAAAGGAUGGUUGUUAACCCUAUAGAACAAUACUAUCUUUCAAAUGAUAUUCAGUAUCAAGUUUUCUCUAAUUAUGCGGGACAUAUUGAAAUCAUGUUGAAGCAUGACCCAAAUAAUAUUCAAUUUUUUAUUAAAAAGAAAAACUCACAGCAGUGACUUUCUGCAUGAAUCUUCCAAUCAAUUGCUUGAUCGCAAAGGAUAAGAUAUAAAUCCUCACACGCAACCAAUGAAAACUGUGAGGUUCAAGAAGCAAGAUGAAGAAAGAGAAGACCUGCAAUGAAGAAUUGAUAUCUGAAUAUUUGUAUCAGAGUGCAAAAGAGAAAAAGCUCUGAAAACCAUACCUGCUGCCAUGAUCUUACCACAGAGAUUGUGAAGGAUCUCCACUGUUUUUGUGCAACAUUUUAUACCUUACUGAUUUUGAUUGGUUAAACAUCUCUUGUGGGUACAUUACAAUGCUUGUUUUCAGACCACAUAAGAAUACUUAUAAACCAACCAAAGAUGCUGCGCAUGCAUAAGCUAAGCUACUGAAGCAAUAAAAUAACUGCUAAGCUAGACAGAUCUACGACUUGUGAGCAUCCACUCCCAUCAUGGCUCUCAAAGAAGAUCUGUCUUACUAUGCUUCUAAAUUUGAUAAAUCAGGAUUCACAGGUGGCCUUGACUACAAUGCUUGUUUUCAGACCACAUAAGAAGGCUGAACCAUUAUGCAGCAAAUCACAAAGCAUAAUAGUAUUUAGAUAUAAUUGGUUCAAUUAGAUAAUAAUAUACCACAAAGCAACAACCCAACUACUUGUAAUUAUUGCUUAUUCCAAAAUCAUCUUUCUAGUUUCAUAACAGUAUUUCUGUUUCUGUUUU